UUAAAGCGGGCUAUGAUACUCUGCCAGAGCGAUUUAGCAUGGGACUGCAGAGUAGCUGUAUUUGAGUGAAGGUUGAGUUUCGGCUCGGCUGUAGCUUGGUACAGCGCUUGCAAUGGAGCUCAGGGUGAGGCCCCGGGUACCAUGAGGCUAGAGGUGAAAUUCUGAGACCCUCAUGUGACCAACUAAGGCGAAAGCUGUCGUGGGCCACCACAAGCUCGUCUAUCAGGGACGAAAGUUGGGUGAUCGAAGACGAUUAGAUACCGUCGUAGUCCCAACUAUAAACGAUACCAACCGAGUAUUUGGGAAGACACUAUCCCAGCGAUCUUCUCAGAACUCAAGGGAAACCUUAAGUCUUUGGGUUCUGGGGGGAGUAUAGUCGCAAGACCGAAACUUAAAGGAAUUGACGGAAAGGCACCACCAGGAGUGGAGUCUGCGGCUUAAUUCGACUCAACACGGGGAAACUCACCAGGUCAGGACACAAGUUUGAUUGACAGGUUAAUAGCCCUUUCUUGAUUGUGUGGUGGGUAGUGCAUGGCCGUUUCCAGUUCGUGGAGUGAUCUGUCUUGUUAAUUCAGAUAACGAACGAGACCUAAGCCUUUAACUAGCCGUAGGCCCUUUUCUUCGGAAAAGGGUUAGUUUGUCGGGACUGGCUUUUUGCCUUUUCCAAAACCUACGUGACUUGUUCAGCUUCUUAAAGGGACUUCAUUCGUUCUUGUAGAAUGAGGAAGAUUUAGGCCAUAACAGGUCUGUGAUGCUCUUAGAUGUCCUGGGCUGCACGCGUACUACAAUAACGGUACCAGCGAGCGCUAUGGUUUUUAACCCCUUAUCCUAAUAGGAUUGGGAAAACUUUUCAAACACCGUUAUGACAGGGAUCGAGGAUUGGAACAUCCUCGUGAACGAGGAAUUCCUAGUAAGCGUGGUUCAUCAUACCACAUUGAUUACGUCCCUGCCUUUUGUACACACCGCCCGUCGCUCCUACCGAUGGGACGAAGAGAUGAACCUGGCGGACCGAGCCGCAAGGUAAGGGAAACCAGUUAAAUCUCUUCGUCUGUAGGAAGGAAAAGUCGUAACAAGGUCUUCGUAGGUGAACCUGCGUAGGGAUCAUUUAUGGU
rnacentral:rRNA from 1 species